rnacentral:lncRNA from 1 species
AUAUCAUUCAUUUUUUUUUUUUUAAGGGAGAAGAUGCAAGGUCAUCCACAUAUCCUUUCUCUCUCUCAUUUGCAUUCAGAUAUACUUUCUUGCGUGGUUGCAAAAGGGGCGAUGUUCGAGCUGAUUUAGGAAAUUGCAAAUGAGUGCCACACAUACAGAUGUCAGCUGUCAGCAGGUGCUCCCAGAAGCCUCAUGGAAAACAGAUUAUACUCAGCUCUCUGGGAUCUGAUGAAUCGAUAUAAUAGGAGGGCUUUGAAAAGCAGAAGUGGAACAUCUAGAUUUCAAGAUGGAUCAAGAAAACCGUCGGAGCUUGAGAAGCCACUUUCUCCUUGACCCACACACUGCUUGAUCUCUUGGAAACUGCCAACCCUGGAAAGAAGCAUUUUUGACUUCCCGUCUGGCCUGGAUGAAACACAAAGGGAACUUAAGGCAAGAGAUAUUUUAAUGUCUUUUUCUACUUUCUUUCAGUCUCUGUGAUAGCCACCUAAAUCCACAGGCUGAGGGCUAAUGCAUGUGGAAAGGAAACGAAAUCUUCUCAGCAUGUGUGCUCCUCUGACAUUUUGAUUAGCGCAGAGAAAUUGGAAGGCAGCACAUCCCC